rnacentral:rRNA from 1 species
GUGUGAAAGGCUACAGCUCAACUGUAGUUUCGCGCUGGGAACUGUUUGACUAGAGUUCUGGAGGGGAAGCUGGAAUUCCUGGUGUAGGGGUGAAAUCUGUAGAUAUCAGGAAGAACACCGGUGGCGAAGGCGAGCUUCUAGCCAAGAACUGACGCUGAGGCGCGAAAGCGUGGGGAGCGAACAGGAUUAGAUACCCUGGUAGUCCACGCUGUAAACGAUGUGCACUAGGUGUUGGUCCAUAAGGAUCGGUGCCGAAGCUAACGCGAUAAGUGCACCGCCUGGGGAGUAUGCUCGCAAGGGUGAAACUCAAAGGAAUUGACGGGGGCCCACACAAGCGGUGGAGGAUGUGGCUUAAUUCGAGGACACGCGCAGAACCUUACCGAGGUUUGACAUGCAGGUGGUAGUGAUACGAAAGUUGAACGACCCGUUCAGGGAGCCUGCACAGGUGCUGCAUGGCUGUCGACAGUUCGUGUUGUGAAAUGUUAGGUUAAGUCCCGUAACGAGCGAAACCAUUGUGCCUAUUUGCCAGCGCGUCAUGGCGGGGACUAUAGGCAGACUGCCCCGGCUAACGGGGAGGAAGGCGGGGAUGACGUCAAGUCAGCAUGGCCCUUAUGCCUCGGCACGCACACGUCAUACAAUGGGCUGUACAAUGAGGACCGAGACCGCAAGGUGGAGGANAUCUUUNNAAACAGUUCUAAGUUCGGAU